rnacentral:rRNA from 1 species
GAUGAACGCUGGCGGCGUGCUUAACACAUGCAAGUCGAACGGUGAAGCCAAGCUUGCUUGGUGGAUCAGUGGCGAACGGGUGAGUAACACGUGAGCAACCUGCCCUGGACUCUGGGAUAAGCGCUGGAAACGGUGUCUAAUACUGGACAUGAGCUCCUUCCGCAUGGUGGGGGUUGGAAAGAUUUGUCGGUCUGGGAUGGGCUCGCGGCCUAUCAGCUUGUUGGUGAGGUAAUGGCUCACCAAGGCGUCGACGGGUAGCCGGCCUGAGAGGGUGACCGGCCACACUGGGACUGAGACACGGCCCAGACUCCUACGGGAGGCAGCAGUGGGGAAUAUUGCACAAUGGGCGGAAGCCUGAUGCAGCAACGCCGCGUGAGGGAUGACGGCCUUCGGGUUGUAAACCUCUUUUAGCAGGGAAGAAGCUUUUGUGACGGUACCUGCAGAAAAAGCGCCGGCUAACUACGUGCCAGCAGCCGCCGUAA